rnacentral:piRNA from 1 species
UGAAGUCUUCGGUACACUGAACUCGCCU